GGGGAAGUGGGAGAGAGACCAUUCUCAGAAUAAGUCAGCAAUCUUGCAGGGAGCUUGUAUUUUGUACUUUUUUUUCCUUUCAUUAGGUUCUCUCUUCUGCUGGUUGAGAACAGACUUGAGGAACCCAGGCAACUGCAAUCCAGAUCAAAUUUAUCCCUUUCUGACUGGAACUAAGUGUAAACAGCUCCUGGUAAAGAAGAUCUGCUCUAAAUCAACCAGCCUUUGUGCAGCAUCACAUUACCAGCGCAGUCCAUGCACAAGGUUUGAUUGAUAGCGUCGGUGUGAAAGCAUUAAAUUACAUACCCAAGACAUGAGUUUGAUUGACAGAUGUGGAUGUUUCCCUGAGACCUGAAAUAAAUUUCAGGUGGACUCCUUUACAAAGGGAAGUGGAAAUGAGAAAGCACACCCUGGAGAGAAGGAAGAGAAUUAAGUGGAAAAUACCUUUGUUUCUUCUCUUGCAGAUUUCACGCAGUGGAAUCCAAUCUGAGAGCACCGCACAGUGAUAAAGUACUCCUGAUGACUGCUCUGAAAUAAUUAAUGGUCAUAGUCAGGUAACUAACCAGAAGUCAAGUUUCAGUGAACAGUGGAAUGAUAAAGUUGGCAACAUUCAAUUGAAGUGGCUACCUCAUUCAACAUUGAGGUGUUGAUUCAAAUAAAAAGUUGAGAAAGUUAAAAGAUGUGAAUAAGAUUGCUGAGGCUAUCUGGCAAUUUAGUCAAACAUAACUUUAAAUCUCAUUACAACAAUAGUGCUGAUCAUUACUGUUAAAAACAACCUAGCCUCCCCGAGAGAGUAUUCUACUGACUGCUGAUAUUUCUCCAAAUAUGAAGUUAUAAUAAAUAGUUAAAAGUACAAAGGGAUUCUGAAAAUCUAUUAAGGGCUUCCUGUUGAAUUGGAACAACCUGUAAAGGAAUUCCAUCACUGUUACUGUAUAUAUUAAGACCUCACUUGUAUAUCAUUAAUAGUAUCAUGUCUUCGGUUUUGGAAAUAUUCACACUUUAG